rnacentral:rRNA from 1 species
GACGAACGCUGGCGGCGUGCUUAACACAUGCAAGUCGAGCGGUAAGGCCCCUUUGGGGGUACACGAGCGGCGAACGGGUGAGUAACACGUGGGUGACCUGCCCUCAGCUCUGGGAUAAGCCUGGGAAACUGGGUCGUAAUACCGGAUAUGACUCCAUGACGCAUGUUGUGGGGUGGAAAGCCUUGUGCGGCUGGGGAUGGGCCCGCGGCCUAUCAGCUUGUUGGUGGGGUGAUGGCCUACCAAGGCGACGACGGGUAGCCGGCCUGAGAGGGCGACCGGCCACACUGGGACUGAGACACGGCCCAGACUCCUACGGGAGGCAGCAGUGGGGAAUCUUGCGCAAUGGGCGAAAGCCUGACGCAGCGACGCCGCGUGAGGGAUGACGGCCUGGUUGUAACC